rnacentral:misc_RNA from 1 species
GUUUAGACGAACAGCUGAUGCAGCAAAGGAAUCCAUCAGGGAAUACUUGGGUGGAUGGAGAGGACAAAAAUCAGUAGUCAAUGAGGAGUCAUAUGUUCUGCUAGAGAAAGCUAUUAGAUCUCUGGCCAGUUUUUAUUCAAAGGCAGGCCCAUCUGCUGCACUUCCAGAAGAGGUAAAGUCAGAGAUCUUAGAUGAUCUGAAUAAAGCAGAAGAAGCAUUGUAACAUGGAGUGGAAGGUCAGUGGUACAUGGUGGAAUAGUCGAG